CAUUCGUACGUAUAUUAGCCGUAUCUAGAAACAACCGGCAACUUCCGUGCUAGUGGAGGCAAUUUUCUGAAUAUUUUUACAACUUAAAUAAAUGCUUUAUUGUAUGAAGUAGUUAUGUUACGAAUGCGGAACUGACUUUUUAUUGUCUGACAGAAGAAAUAGUUUUAUCCUGGAUAGCCCAAUCCUUACAUUGAUGUUGGGAGCAUGCGAUUAAUCGGAGAGCUAGAAGUAUAAUAGUGCUCGGACUGAUAUUUCGGAUACGGUUUGACAUCUACAAAAAUCAACAUUAUAAUUAAUGCAAUCAAGUAAUAAUAAGAGAAUAUGGAAGAAAAUUGAAGAUUUAUAUUCAAUACACUGCUGAUGAGGUUUCAAAACAGUUAAAAACCUCCAAUUUACAAAUAUACACUCAAGAAAAAGAUGGGUACAAAUCAUUCACCUGGAUUCAGGACUUGUUCUUCUAAAAACUUACGCAUACUCAAGAUAUUGAAGAUUGGUUUGGAAACUCUCAUUAACAGAAGGAAUAAACAACAAAACAGAAUUUUUUUAUUGGCCAUUGACUUAGUUAAUGAAACGUCAUACUCAUUAUAAAUGUGAAAUCAAUGACAUUUGUUGACAAUUUGAAAAAAAAAAACAACAAAAAAACAACAUACUAACAUAUGGUAUUGAUAUCCUUGCAAUAGUGAAAAAGUGACAUCAUUUGAAAAAGUGUGAUUGCAAUUACAGACAGAAGUGAUCUAUUGAAGAUCUUGAAAAGUGUAAAUACUAAGUGACAACAUAACUAAGUUAUAAUCUUUGGAAGUGUGAAUACUUAUUACAUCAGUGAUAAUCUUGGAAGACUCUUUAUGUUUUUAUCACUUUUAUAAAUCCAUGAACUCAUUCUUCAUGAAAUAAACUUUCAUCCUGAAUUCAAUAUAUUUUGUAAAAUAAAGUUAUAAACUUU